rnacentral:misc_RNA from 1 species
UCAACCCUCAAGCCCCGGCUUGGUGUUGGAGGCCCGGCGAGGUUCUGAACCUGGCCGCUCCGAAAGACAACGACGGCGUCCGGCGGACCCCUGGUACAAUGAGCUUUCCAAGCACGUAUCGGCUGCGGUCCCCGGGGGCUGGUCUAUAACCCAUUUUUUACAA